UACGGGGGGGGCAAGCGUUGUUCGGAAUCACUGGGCGUAAAGCGCACGUAGGCGGAUUGUUAAGUCAGGGGUGAAAUCCUGGAGCUCAACUCCAGAACUGCCUUUGAUACUGGCGAUCUUGAGUCCGGGAGAGGUGAGUGGAACUGCGAGUGUAGAGGUGAAAUUCGUAGAUAUUCGCAAGAACACCAGUGGCGAAGGCGGCUCACUGGCCCGGUACUGACGCUGAGGUGCGAAAGCGUGGGGAGCAAACAGGG
rnacentral:rRNA from 1 species